AGCGAACGCUGGCGGAAUGCUUAACACAUGCAAGUCGCACGCCCUGCAAGGGGAGUGGCGGACGGGUGAGUAACGCGUAGGAAUAUGUGCAGAGGUGGGGGACAAACCUGGGAAACUGGGGCUAAUACCGGAUAUGGGCUGAGGCACAAAGCAGUGAUGCGCCUUUGGAGUAGCCUGAGGCCGAUUAGCUUGUUGGUGAGGUAAUGGGUCACCAAGGCUACGAUCAGUAGCUGGUCUGCGAGGCUGGUCAGCCACACUGGGAUUAGGACACGGCCCAGACUACUACGGGAGGCAGCAGUGGGUAAUCUUGCGCAAUGGGCGAAAGCCUGACGCAGCCAUGGCGCGUGGAUGACGAAGGUCUUAGGAUUGUGAAAUCCUUUCACCGGGGACAAUAAUGACGGUACCCGGAGAAGAAGCCCCGGCUAACUUCGUGCCAGCCGCCGCCGUAA
rnacentral:rRNA from 1 species